rnacentral:rRNA from 1 species
CCUACGGGAGGCAGCAGUGGGGAAUUGUUCGCAAUGGGCGCAAGCCUGACGACGCAACGCCGCGUGGAGGAUGAAGGUCUUCGGAUUGUAAACUCCUGUUGCCCGGGACGCGGUACCGGGUGAGGAAGCCCCGGCUAACUCUGUGCCAGCAGCCGCGGUAAUACAGAGGGGGCAAGCGUUGUUCGGAAUUACUGGGCGUAAAGGGCGCGUAGGCGGCCUGUUAAGUCGAACGUGAAAUCCCUGGGCUCAACCCAGGAACUGCGUCCGAUACUGGCAGGCUUGAAUCCGGGAGAGGGAUGUGGAAUUCCAGGUGUAGCGGUGAAAUGCGUAGAUAUCUGGAGGAACACCGGUGGCGAAGGCGGCAUCCUGGACCGGAUUGACGCUGAGGCGCGAAAGCCAGGGGAGCAAACGGGAUUAGAUACCCUUGUAGUC